UACCAUGCCAGCAGACUUACCUGAU
rnacentral:piRNA from 1 species